UUAAGCAUAUCAAUAAGCGGAGGAAAAGAAACCAACAGGGAUUACCUCAGUAACGGCGAGUGAAGCGGUAACAGCUCAAAUUUGAAAUCUGGGUCUUUCAGGCUCCGAGUUGUAAUUUGUAGAAGAUGCUUCGGGUGCGGCUCCGGUCUAAGUUCCUUGGAACAGGACGUCAUAGAGGGUGAGAAUCCCGUAUGUGAUCGGUUGCCUGCGCCCGUGUGAAGCUCUUUCGACGAGUCGAGUUGUUUGGGAAUGCAGCUCAAAAUGGGUGGUAAAUUUCAUCUAAAGCUAAAUAUUGGCCAGAGACCGAUAGCGCACAAGUAGAGUGAUCGAAAGAUGAAAAGCACUUUGGAAAGAGAGUUAAACAGUACGUGAAAUUGUUGAAAGGGAAGCGCUUGCAACCAGACUUGCGCGUUGCCGAUCAUCCGGGGUUCUCCCCGGUGCACUCGGCUUCGCUCAGGCCAGCAUCGGUUUCGGUGGUGGGAUAAAGGCCUUGGGAAUGUGGCUCCUCUCGGGGAGUGUUAUAGCCCUCGGUGCAAUGCCGCCUACCGGGACCGAGGACCGCGCUUCGGCUAGGAUGCUGGCGUAAUGGUUGUAAGCGACCCGUCUUGAAACACGGACCAAGGAGUCUAACAUCUAUGCGAGUGUUUGGGUGUCAAACCCAUACGCGUAAUGAAAGUGAACGGAGGUGAGAACCCUUAAGGGUGCAUCAUCGACCGAUCCUGAUGUCUUCGGAUGGAUUUGAGUAAGAGCAUAGCUGUUGGGACCCGAAAGAUGGUGAACUAUGCCUGAAUAGGGUGAAGCCAGAGGAAACUCUGGUGGAGGCUCGCAGCGGUUCUGACGUGCAAAUCGAUCGUCAAAUUUGGGUAUAGGGGCGAAAGACUAAUCGAACCAUCUAGUAGCUGGUUCCUGCCGAA
rnacentral:rRNA from 1 species